GGCUCAGAUUGAACGCUGGCGGCAGGCCUAACACAUGCAAGUCGAGCGGAUGAAGGGAGCUUGCUCCUGGAUUCAGCGGCGGACGGGUGAGUAAUGCCUAGGAAUCUGCCUGGUAGUGGGGGACAACGUUUCGAAAGGAACGCUAAUACCGCAUACGUCCUACGGGAGAAAGCAGGGGACCUUCGGGCCUUGCGCUAUCAGAUGAGCCUAGGUCGGAUUAGCUAGUUGGUGAGGUAAUGGCUCACCAAGGCGACGAUCCGUAACUGGUCUGAGAGGAUGAUCAGUCACACUGGAACUGAGACACGGUCCAGACUCCUACGGGAGGCAGCAGUGGGGAAUAUUGGACAAUGGGCGAAAGCCUGAUCCAGCCAUGCCGCGUGUGUGAAGAAGGUCUUCGGAUUGUAAAGCACUUUAAGUUGGGAGGAAGGGUUGUAGAUUAAUACUCUGCAAUUUUGACGUUACCGACAGAAUAAGCACCGGCUAACUCUGUGCCAGCAGCCGCGGUAAUACAGAGGGUGCAAGCGU
rnacentral:rRNA from 1 species